rnacentral:rRNA from 1 species
GACGAACGCUGGCGGCGUGCUUAACACAUGCAAGUCGAACGGAAAGGCCCUGCUUGCAGGGUGCUCGAGUGGCGAACGGGUGAGUAACACGUGGGUGAUCUGCCCCUUACUUUGGGAUAAGCCUUGGAAACUGGGUCUAAUACUGGAUAGGACCAUGCUGUAGGUGGUGUGGUGGAAAGAUUAGUUUCGGUAAGGGAUGAGCUCGCGGCGUAUCAGCUUGUUGGUGGGGUAAUGGCCUACCAAGGCGUCGACGGGUAGCCGGCGUGAGAGGGUGGACGGCCACAUUGGGACUGAGGUGCGGCCCAGACUCCUACGGGAGGCAGCAGUGGGGAAUAUUGCACAAUGGGCGCAAGCCGGAUGCAGCGACGCCGCGUGGGGGAUGACGGCCUUCGGGUUGUAAACUCCUUUCAGCCAUGACGAAGCCCUUGUGGUGACGGUAGUGGUAGAAGAAGCACCGGCUAACUACGUG